AUGGAGGGAGGGGAGAGCAGCGGCAAGAGGGCGAGUGCGGAGGAAGAAGGAGAGGUGCUGAUGAUGAUGCAGGACGGAGGCGGAGGAGGCGGCGCGCUCGUGGCGGCAGAAUCCAUGGCGCCGGCGCAGAUCGACGUGAGGAUGGACCUCACGCUGCUCCACUGCCAGGGCUGCCUCCUCCCCCUCAAGCCCCCCGUCUUCAAGUGCGAGGCCGCCGGCCACGUCGUGUGCUACCACUGCCGCGCCGUCCACGGCACCAUCUGCAGCCGCGCCAGCACGCACUGCGGCGAGCUGGAUGCCGUCGUGGGCGCCGCCAAGGUGCCGUGCCCAUACAGGGUGUUCGGCUGCGAGCGCCACGUCGUGUACCACGAGGCCGCGGACCACCAGCGCGCGUGCCAGUGCGCGCCCUGCUCCUGCCCGGACCCGGCGUGCGGCUUCGCGGGCUCCCGCGCGGCGCUCCUCGACCACUUCGCCGCCGUCCACCGGCGCCCCGCCGUCACGGUCCGCUACAGCCGGGCCCGGGACAUCGGCCUCUCCGUGUCGCACCGCUGGAACGCGCUCGUCGGGGAGGAGGACGGCAGCGUGUUCCUCGUGUCCCUGGGCCCGCUCGGCGCGGCCACCGCCGUGUCGCUGGUCUGCGUCAGGCCGGACGGCGAGGCGGCGCCGCAGUUCUGGUGCAAGCUCUCCGUGGAGCGCCUGGGCGGCAACAACAGGGACAGACUGGUCCUCAUGGCCUCGGCGGUGAGCAGCAGCGCGCUGUCCACCGGCGCGCCGGCGCCGGGGCAGGGGAUGUUCUUGGCCGUGCCGCAGGAGCUGCUCUCCGGCGACACGCUCACGCUCACCGUCCGCAUCGAUCUGAUCCGGUCUGCUGCCGCCGCUCCCAAGUCGACAACACCACAGGCUAGGACACCGAGGAGGAUGCAGUGA
rnacentral:rRNA from 1 species